UUACUCUGGUUUCCCAUCAAAACGGAUAAAUCUUUCGCCUUUUACUAAAGAUUUCCGUGGUGGGGAGCAAUCAAAUGAGUCUUAUUCAUUUUUUGCAAGUCUCGCGCAAGCGGGAUU